CACUUCUGAGCUGUGUGGCCUUGGGAGUGUUUGCCUCUGAAACUCAGCUGUCUCCGAAUUAACACAGAAUUUCACAUUUCUUCUUCUGAAAAAAAGGGGGCUCAAAUCCUGAUCUCCCAAAGCAGGUGUGAGGAUUAGAACUGGUCCUUCAUCUUAACGAAUCUGAAGUUUUCACCUGGAGCCACUGGCUCCUACCUUCCAAAUUCCAUUGUGUUCACAGAGAUGAAAGGUAAUUUCACUGAAUGAUACUGAAAAUGCUUUCAGAGAUCCUUAUUUUACCUCCGUGACUUAGCCAAGAAGUGUUUUUCAAACCCUUUCCAUGAAACAGAAAUCUAUGUAAUCUUAACUUUGGCCCUGGAAACUCUACUCACCAAACACACGUGAUCUGCAUCUACCCAGGUCAGAUGCUGCACCUGCUGGAUACCGGGGAUAAAGCAGUGAAUGGGACAGACGUGGUCCUUGAACCACGGACCACAUGUACAUGACUGCGCAUGUCAGAACCUGGUCAGCUUCCUUAGGUCCAGCUCCUCUACCUGUCCCACAUGGAUGACAAGACCUCAGAGGUAUAGGGAGAGUUCCUCUCUCCAUCCCUCUCCACUUGCUGCCUCAUCAGUCUUAUCUCUUCGCUGCCCAAGUCUGAAAUGUCUUUUUCUGGUUAUCUGUAUCCAGAGCGAUGUCAAGAUUCACAUGUAUCUAACUAAAAUCCUCACAGGUAUGAAAAAGGUAUCAUAAAAAUAUGAAUGGGGGAAAUUUAUUGGUGGGCAACGAACUACAAUAUGACCAUAUUAAUAGUCACAACAAAAGUAAUGAGCAUUUAUUAAGCACCUGUCUCUUGCCAGGCACUGCACUAUCACAUUUAAGCCAGCAACAACUCUUCAAGGCAUCAGAAUCCAUUUUUCAGACAAGGAAACUGAGACUCAGAUCACACGGAGGCCCAAAGUCACACAACUGUCAAUUUCAGAGGGAAGGUUGAAUCCCAGGACAGUCUGAGUCUCAGGUCAGUGGCCCAACAAUAUAAUUGUCUGUUACCUGCUUUAAAAAUCAGCUUCUUUAUAUUUUACCACUCUAUAAAUAUCUCUUCUCAAGUGGAUAUAGUAGGAAUCCUUAAAAUCUCUCAGCUGGAGACUGUACAAUACAAUAGAUUGCUUUUUCUUUAAAAUUAAGUCGUUUAUUUAUUUUUUUUUAAAGGAAAACAAAAACCUUUGGGAGACAUGUUUCAAAAUCUUCCUAAUGAGGUAUUUAGCUGAUAAUCCACAAUGGCUUUGAUUGUGGGAUAAAUAUGGGAUUGCUACUCAGACCUUCCGGAAAAUAUACGUAAUUACAAAGAUUAAGCAAAGUAUGACUAACAAAUAGUUUUUCAACUCCUGGCACGGAAAACUGCAGCAUCAAGAGGCUUUAGGCUGGAAUGUUAAGCAUCAUAUCUGCCCCCCAAACACCCUCCAAGGCCUUUCUGCUGCAUGAACUCUCUUCCUGAAGAUUUGAAUGAGGUGCAACAUGGUCUGUGAUGAAGUAGAAAGCCAGCCCUUUGGCCCUACCCCCUUCUCGGGUCCACCACUGCCCCUUUACGAGUCAGCCAGCCUCAGAGCUCUCAGCAGCAAUUAUAUUAUGAAUGAUUCCAGGUUCUUUUUAUUGGGAAGGUUUUGAAGUCAUGAGAUUUGAAAGCAAACAAGACCCUGGGUGUUUAAAUCCUGCCAGAUGGGAGGAAACUUCCAGAGCUGAUGGAUAAGCUGCUGGCAUUGAUAAUCAUGAUGUUUUCACAAGUCUAUACUUAAUCUCCAAACAUAUCAGGUUGUAUAUAUUAAUUACCUACAGCUUACUGUAUGCCAAUCAUAUCUCAGGAAAGCAGUUAAAAACUGUUAUAUUGAUUAGUUACUUGGAUGUGUAAUAACGGACCAAAUGUACUUCAAGACCUUCAUCCUAAGGAUUUUGUUCAGAAGGCAUGGGUGAAUGUUGUGACUGUCUUACUUCUUCCCUAAGGACAGUUCAAAAACCAGCCUCAGGUGGUCUUCUAAGGAAAUAUACUCUGAGCAGUUAACAAAAUAUACCCUGUCAGAGGCAAAAGUCAAA